rnacentral:rRNA from 1 species
AUUGAACGCUGGCGGCAUGCUUUACACAUGCAAGUCGAACGGUAACAGGCCUUCGGGUGCUGACGAGUGGCGAACGGGUGAGUAAUGCAUCGGAACGUGCCCAGAGGUGGGGGAUAACGCAGCGAAAGCUGUGCUAAUACCGCAUGUGAUCUGAGGAUGAAAGCGGGGGACCAGGCAGCAAUGUUUGGCCUCGCGCCUUUGGAGCGGCCGAUGUCAGAUUAGGUAGUUGGUGGGGUAAAGGCCUACCAAGCCGACGAUCUGUAGCUGGUCUGAGAGGACGACCAGCCACACUGGGACUGAGACACGGCCCAGACUCCUACGGGAGGCAGCAGUGGGGAAUUUUGGACAAUGGGCGCAAGCCUGAUCCAGCAAUGCCGCGUGCUGGAAGAAGGCCUUCGGGUUGUAAACCGCUUUUGUACGGAACGAAAAGUCUCUGGCUAAUACCUGGGGCUGAUGACGGUACCGUAAGAAUAAGCACCGGCUAACUACGUG